rnacentral:rRNA from 1 species
AUUGAACGCUGGCGGCAGGCUUAACACAUGCAAGUCGAGCGAGCGGCGGACGGGUGAGUAAUGUCUGGGAAACUGCCUGAUUGAGGGGGAUAACUACUGGAACCGGUAGCUAAUACCGCAUACCCUCCGAUGAACCCAUAUGGGAUUAGCUAGUAGGUAAGGUAACGGCGUACCUAGGCGACGAUCCCUAGCUGGUCUGAGAGGAUGAUCAGCCACACUGGGACUGAGACACGGCCCAGACUGCUACGGGAGGCAGCAGUGGGGAAUAUUGCACAAGGGGCGCAAGCCUGAUGCAGCCAGGCCGCGUGGAGGAAGAAGGCCUUCGGGUUGUAAAGUACUGUCAGUCGGGAGGCGUUACCGACAGAAGAAGCACCGGCUAACCCAGGGCCAGCCGCCGCGGUAAGAC